AUGGCGAAGGCAGGUCUCUGGGCCGUCACUGACGCUGAGGAGCGAAAGCGUGGGGAGCGAACAGGAUUAGAUACCCUGGUAGUCCACGCCGUAAACGGUGGACGCUGGAUGUGGGGCACGUUCCACGUGUUCCGUGUCGGAGCUAACGCGUUAAGCGUCCCGCCUGGGGAGUACGGCCGCAAGGCUAAAACUCAAAGAAAUUGACGGGGGCCCGCACAAGCGGCGGAGCAUGCGGAUUAAUUCGAUGCAACGCGAAGAACCUUACCUGGGCUUGACAUGUUCCCGACGACGCCAGAGAUGGCGUUUCCCUUCGGGGCGGGUUCACAGGUGGUGCAUGGUCGUCGUCAGCUCGUGUCGUGAGAUGUUGGGUUAAGUCCCGCAACGAGCGCAACCCUCGCCCCGUGUUGCCAGCACGUUAUGGUGGGAACUCACGGGGGACCGCCGGGGUUAACUCGGAGGAAGGUGGGGAUGACGUCAGAUCAUCAUGCCCCUUACGUCCAGGGCUUCACGCAUGCUACAAUGGCCGGUACAACGGGAUGCGACACUGUGAGGUGGAGCGGAUCCCUUAAAACCGGUCUCAGUUCGGAUUGGAGUCUGCAACCCGACUCCGUGAAGGCGGAGUCGCUAGUAAUCGCGGAUCAGCAACGCCGCGGUGAAUGCGUUCCCGGGCCUUGUACACACCGCCCGUCAAGUCAUGAAAGUGGGCAGCACCCGAAGCCGGUGGCCUAACCCCUUGUGGGAUGGAGCCGUCUAAGGUGAGGCUCGUGAUUGGGACUAAGUCGUAACAAGGUAGCCGUACCGGAAGGUGCGGCUG
rnacentral:rRNA from 1 species